rnacentral:lncRNA from 1 species
GGAGAGCCAUCAUAUGUUGCGACAUAAGAUCAAUUCGAGGAGGGAAUUGUUGUUGUUGCGCCAGACUAUGUAAUAAACCAGAAUGAUCUCCGUGGAGAAGACCAGGAUCAGUGACCCAAUGAGGUUGCACAACGUUACCAAGGGUAGGACCACACGAGGCAUAUCUAGCCAAAUUACCACCAUAGUGAGGCCCGUGUGAGGGUCCUGAAAGAUGAAAUCUAGAGUUUGACAGCGGGGAAGGUGGGGUGAAAUUCAUCUGAGAACCGCUGGGAAGAGAAGGAGCGCGGUGGAGGCUUCCAGGUGAAGUCUGCUGAGAUCUGCUGCCUGGCGGGGGAAAGGAGGUGAAAGUUGAUUCUGGUACAAUGAUCGGUUCACUAUUGUAGUGUUGCAACGGUGGUGGCUGCUGAGGGUAAGAGGAUGUCCUGUAUAAAGGUUGUGAAUGAGCAGAUGACUGUGGCUGCGAGGACCAUCUGUUAGCCUCUUGAUCUUGCUCGUCCAACCAGUUUGUGAGCUCUGUAUCGUGAGUCCAAUCGGUGGCAGAAGAACCUAAAGAUGAAGUACAUUCAGGUUAAGAAGAACCCUAAAGGUAUACAGUAUACAGUAGUAAGCAAGUUAAGAAUUAAACUCACUCUCUCUUGAAAAGGAACCAGAUCCUCUGUCACCAAUAACUCCAAGGUGUUUGGGUCCUGUGACAUUUCUAUUUAGCUACACAAAGAAAAUAAGUAGAUUUAGAAUCACUAACAAACAAGAGUUCAAAGCUGAAGAACAAGAACAGGUAUAACAUGGCAGUUAAAGAUAUUAAGAUCACUAAAAAAGCAGUUUUUGCAACAAAAAAGAAGUUAAAAAAACCUUUGCAAAAGUCGUGGCAAGAUCAUCCAUGUCAGAUAAUGACCCUAAACCUGCACCCUGCAAUAAUCAACAUGUAUGUAUUAGUAAAACAUCAUCACGUGGUAGCUUUCAGAAGAGAAAACACAUUACCUCUCCUUUAUUAAACAAGUGAUACUCGUCAUCAUCAGGAGAAGUAUGUCCAAGAACAGGAGCGACCACUUCGUCAUCGUCAAUGCCUCCUAAUGACAUUUCGUCAAGGUUUUGCCCAAAAAACUCAUACUGAGAUGCAUCAAAGAGCUUACUAUUUGAAUCUGCAGAUACAAAACACAGCCAGUUUCAGCAGACAAUGCCACAAACACAUGGACUUAAAGCUCUAAGACUUUCAAUCAAAGGGAUAACAACAACAAAAGCAAAACUCAAAAAAAAAAAAAAAAGAGAGAAGCUUUUUAGUAUUCAAAAAGGUUUGAUCAUUCAUGAAAUUGGAGAACAAGAAGAACAACUACACAAAAAAAAAAAAAACAAAACCCAUACAGACAUAAUCUACAGGAAAACACAAGACCAGACAGAAGACAAUUAGCAUAAAUUUCAUCCCUUUAUGUGCUUUUCUCACUCGUAAAACGAACCACAAAGCAACACGGAUCUCAGCUAACAACACAAAGAGAAGAAAGAAACAUCCUUUCGAUGAGAUAAAAAGGGAGUGACCUGAGGAAGAGCGAACAAAGUUGUACAAGUCCCUGGAAUCAGAUCUCUCCAUGAUCGGAGGAUAAAAAGAGCGAAACUUUAGAAAUUAGAGGAUGCGAGAGAAGGAAGAGAAGUCGUAUUCCUUCGCGCUAGGGUUUUCCCAGAUGGGGACGCGGAGAGAGAGAGAAUGAUCAACCCAUCACAGAUUCAGAGUUGAUCUGACCACCCCUUGCAUGCGACGCAGACUCACUAACGGCCGACGGUUUACGACCAAAGUUUAACAAAUAGUUCCUCUGGUCGUCAUUGGUAUGACGGAGGCUCGCACGUAAAAGCUCAGCGGGCAUUUCUCUCUUUAUCGCCAGCUCCAAAACAUCCGCUGCACUCCCUUGGUUCUGCCUACGGAUCGUCUCAUACUUGCUCCUGCAGUAUUUAGUAAGCAGGUUGAAGAACUCAUUAAACGAGGCUCUCCAUAGGCCAUCAUUAGAGCUCCCAUGGACGGCUCGAGGAACCACCACUACUUCAGCAGCUCUCUCGAGAAGUGAUAUCAAGACAACCGAAGCACCAUCCCCAGAAGAGCUUCCAAUAGGACGCAGAGGUGGCUGCUCUGAAGAACAAACCACAGCUGCAAGGCAAGCACUCAGCGCUCGGAGGUCCAUAGCUUGAACACAGACCGUGACUGCCUUGGCAAGAUUAGCAAUCGUCUCUGCUGCUAGAGUAUCCGAAGGCAAGCCGCCGAAGAGAAACCUCAAGUGGCGGAAUAUAGCCAUACAGACAACUCGAGCAAUCUCAGUGCCUGGAACUAGAAGCUGUAUGUACUUCGUAAGCAUUUUCCGACCCUUUGGAAGAGUUGCUAUACGCAGAAACACAACAUCAUCCUUAGCAGUCAGCCCUGACUUCUGACCGGUUUUGCUGAACGGAUCAGCAAGCUGAAGUGCCGUCGCUAGACCUUCAAGGAGGAUCUGGCGUUUUCUCUUCACCUGAGCGCCUCCGUCUUGAGGCCUUGUGGACUGGAGAGUCCUGUCAAUGUCAACUAUGUCGAUAAGAACUCCUAGAGCAUCUUCAAUUGUAACCCUAGCUGCCACAAGUGGUUCCUGCUCCAAAUGUUUCCCUGAGCCCUUUUGAUCAUUAGAACCAGGAGAAGAAGAAGAGUCAACCUCAAGCAAGGCACGUGGCCUGCGAAUAUAGGGAAGCGUGAUCUUCCCAAGAGCAUCUACAUGAACUUGUUGUUGAUGCUGUUCAGAACUAUUAUUACGGGACUUAGGUUGGUGGUGGUGGUCUUUCAACUGAGAAGGGUAGAAGAGAGUGAUUGCUCUACUAGAUCCAGAAGACUUCUUGGCAAGGCGAGCUUGGUGGUAAUAAUCAUUGACAUAAGGAUCGUUGCUGUGUGAAUUAGAGUGCUGCAUCUUGAGUAUACUCUCUAUUUCCUCUGAAGUCAUGUACUUUGAUCUAAACUGCAAUCCACUCUCGCUUUUCUGACUAGCUGCGUCUGAUGCCUGUUGAGAUAUGCCUUUGUUCUUUCGACUCCUAUGAGAAGACUUAUGCUUGUGUUGUUCCCUAACUUCACCACCCCCAAAAGAGACUUUACGUGAUGGUGAUGGAUAAGACCUGUACAGCUGAGACUGUAGCGCUGCAAGCUGAGCAUACGAUUGUCUCUGCUGGAGAGCCAUCAUAUGUUGCGACAUAAGAUCAAUUCGAGGAGGGAAUUGUUGUUGUUGCGCCAGACUAUGUAAUAAACCAGAAUGAUCUCCGUGGAGAAGACCAGGAUCAGUGGCCCAAUGAGGUUGCACAACGUUACCAAGGGUAGGACCACACGAGGCAUAUCUAGCCAAAUUACCACCAUAGUGAGGCCCGUGUGAGGGUCCUGAAAGAUGAAAUCUAGAGUUUGACAGCGGGGAAGGUGGGGUGAAAUUCAUCUGAGAACCGGUGGGAAGAGAAGGAGCGCGGUGGAGGCUUCCAGGUGAAGUCUGCUGAGAUCUGCUGCCUGGCGGGGGAAAGGAGGUGAAAGUUGAUUCUGGUACAAUGAUUGGUUCACUAUUGUAGUGUUGCAACGGUGGUGGCUGCUGAGGGUAAGAGGAUGUCCUGUAUAAAGGUUGUGAAUGAGCAGAUGACUGUGGCUGCGAGGACCAUCUGUUAGCCUCUUGAUCUUGCUCGUCCAACCAGUUUGUGAGCUCUGUAUCGUGAGUCCAAUCGGUGGCAGAAGAACC